GAUCGGUGAGCUGGCUGGAAUUUCAGCACAGGAUUUGUUCUUGUGGUUUCCCGUUAAGGAAAUCAGGGUGGAUAUACCUAGCUCCGGGUUGAUUUAUUUUGAUGUUGGGGUGGUUUCUAAGCAGUUUUCUUUGUCCUCGUUUGAGACACCGAGGGAUUGUACUGCUGUUCAGCUCACGGAUCAGAUUCAAGAUGGGAAGCACAUAUUAGAGGCUGUUUCAAAGAGUCUCUUGGGGAAGCUCCGGUAUCAGCUUGAUCAGGGAGAAUUUUGUAAGGACUGUUCUGUAGAUUUUGCUAGUCAGGAGAGGUCAAGUUGCACUAUAGCUCAAUCAGACCAUGGGUCUUCCAUUAUUCAUUCUAUGUACAUGUCUGCCGAAAGUCUGGUUUAGUGGUCAUAUGCUUCAUUCAGGUGUGCUUGCUUGCGGUUUCAUGUAUAGUUCUGCAAACUAUCAUGCCAGCUCCUAUCUUUUUGACGGUUGUGAUUGGACUCCGAGAUGAUAUAUUGAUGCUUCAUUUGAGUGUCUAUGAGAGAGAGGAUAUAAAGAUACAGGAGCACUACAUAAAUUACUUGUGAUAGAUUUGCAGAGGUUUGUAACUACGUUCAAUUCAUAUCAAACCUGAAAUACGAUUGUUACUUAAUUCUCUUUUUGUAGUUGAUGAGAUAUACAUAAAUGCAAGAAAUAAAAUCUAUAUUAUUUUGAUUCUUAAA